UGAAAGGUUCUCAUUGCAUACGAAAGGUAAACAUACUAUAUGCUCGAAAAUAACUUUAAACAUUACAUUACCGAAAACAUAAGUCAAGUGUUUACAACACAUGAUAGCAUAUUGUCUUAAAAGUUACAACUUUAUUUAACGAUAAACAAAGCGACAUCCACGAGCAUGCGUAGGACCACGCGCACAUCCACCUUUAGUUACCUGAAAUACAUGUGAGUUUUGGAAAAACAUCAACAUAAUGUUGGUGUGAAUUCAUGCAGUGAUUGUUUUUGAAUGUUUAAUAUCCUUGAAUGAAAACAUAGUAUAAAACUGGUAGAAUGAAUGAAUGUUUGAAUGUAACUCGUAAAACGUAUUAUAAAACUGGUAGAAUGAAUGAAUGUUUGAAUGUAACUCGUAAAACGUAUGUAUAACUGGGUACUAUGACUGUUUGAAUGUGUGAGUUUUGCUAGUGGUUUGCAAGGCCACUAACAUAUGUCACGACAUAGGAAGCCACCAAA
rnacentral:lncRNA from 1 species